GACGAACGCUGGCGGCGUGCUUAACACAUGCAAGUCGAACGGAAAGGCCCUGCUUUUGUGGGGUGCUCGAGUGGCGAACGGGUGAGUAACACGUGAGUAACCUGCCCUUGACUUUGGGAUAACUUCAGGAAACUGGGGCUAAUACCGGAUAGGAGCUCCUGCUGCAUGGUGGGGGUUGGAAAGUUUCGGCGGUUGGGGGUGGACUCGCGGCUUAUCAGCUUGUUGGUGGGGUAGUGGCUUACCAAGGCUUUGACGGGUAGCCGGCCUGAGAGGGUGACCGGCCACAUAGGGACUGAGAGACGGCCCAGACUCCUACGGGAGACAGCAGUAGGGAAUAUUGCACAAUGGGCGGAAGCCUGAUGCAGCAACGCCGCGUGCGGGAUGACGGCCUUCGGGUUGUAAACCGCUUUCGCCUGUGACGAAGCGUGCGUGACGGUAAUGGGUAAAGAAGCACCGGCUAACUACGUG
rnacentral:rRNA from 1 species